UCUGCUUUAAAGUAUCCAGACUUUGCUGGAAAACAAGGUGUGGGUAAGAUGACUCCAUACAGGUCACCUGAUGGGAUUUCAAGGAAAUUAAAUCUUAGAGGAAUUUGGUCCAAUCCUCCAAUGUGAAAAAGAAUGUGUAAAAAGAAUGUGUGCAUCCAGACCCUUUGGCUCCUCCAGUGUUUUCCAUCUUCUCCACCUUUUCGGGAUGUCUGGGGAGGAACUGCCAGCCAGAAAAUGGUAAGCAGCUGAGGAAAAUGGUGGAGAGGAAAAGAUGGUCAUCUGUUCUGUGACUUUUAGACUCUGUGGAAACUCAGUCUGAAGAAAUCAAAAUAAUUCAUGUCAUUUGGAAGCUUUACAUUAAAGUCUUGAUGAAGUUCACGCAAAGUCCAUCAGUGGCGUGUGGGUGUCUUACUGUGUUGAACUUUUCACCACCAUAAAACUCAGUUAUCCAGACUGCUCAAUGGAAAGUGGAAGUAAACAUGGACAUAUUUAUCUAAAUAUUCUGUAUUCCUCUUGAACGUCAGUGAUUGCUGCUGUUCAAAUAUUGUUUCAAAAAUACCUUGUAGAACUGUUGUCUUUGAUUUUUGCAUAACUGAAGGCUAGAGAAAUAAACUAUCAAGGCAGUUGACAGCAAGAUCGUGUCUGAACUUAAUAAGUAGAGUGUAUCGGAAAAAGGACAGUAAUAGUACUCCCCUGCAGUUGUUGUUUUUAAUAGUUGCUUGUUUUAAAUUUUUGUGUGUUUAUCUGACUUUUGCUCCCUUCUCUGGAAUGAAUGUUGUGCCCGUUCCUGACUGCGGGUCAGGUAAGUAGGCAUGGCUUGAAUGGAACUUACUGAAAGUUGUGAACAGACUGAUUUUUGUUAUAUUUUCAACUAUAUGAAAUGGUUGAAAAUAAAAGGAGUAAAUUCAGAA